AAGGUACCGGACUUCUAAAAUCAUGAAGUUAUGGUUUAUAUGAGGUUAGAAAGCCAUUUGAAUGGUUUCGGUGAAGUUCGGUGAAGUUCGGGAGCUAUCGGGCGUUUCGGUGCGCGUAGGCGCGGAAACGGAACCCGAAAGGCUAUGUUGGGCCGUGAGCUAAAUCCGACAUUAAUGUGGAUGGAAAGAUGAUGAAAACAUGUUUGGAAACAUGUUUGAAGAGUCUCGGUUCGAUUUGAAGUGAAUCGGAGGUCAAACGAGCGAAAACGGACGAAAACGGUGAAAAAGGCUGAAAUUUGGCUAAGUCCUUGAGGCUGAGUACUGGACCUUCGGGGACCG
rnacentral:lncRNA from 1 species